rnacentral:lncRNA from 1 species
GAGCUGCUGUUGAUGUGAAAAAUAUUAAGUGUUGGCUGAGAUUUAGGAACAUCUAAAUCUAAACGCUUUUGUGACAUUCUUGGACAUUGGGAUUGAGGAGGUGUCUCACCUGGGAGCUCUCUUUGCACUAUGAUCAAAAUGGAGUCUUGCCAGCUGCCCAGGGUAAUAGCCUUGAACGUCUCUUCCUUGGUGAGCGAUGAAUAUACUAGAGCAGAAAAUGAGGACACCACAUAGGAUGGCAGGCAAGUACAGUGAUGUCUCCGGGCCUCCUAGGAGGCUGUGGAAGUUAGGUGCAGUUUUUCUUACGAUGACCAUUUGGACUCUGGCGCCUUGAUACUGUGUCAUCAAUAAGUAGCAAGAUCCUGGAGAGAAACACCUGAAAUGGAAGCCGGAACGUAGACCACAGUCAAAAUUAAGUUUAUGGAAAAUAAAGAAAUG